UACGUAGGGGGCGAGCGUUGUCCGGAUUUAUUGGGCGUAAAGAGCUCGUAGGCGGUUUGGCAAGUCGGGUGUGAAAACUCCGGGCUCAACUCGGAGACGCCACUCGAUACUGCUAUGACUCGAGUCCGGUAGGGGAGUGCGGAAUUCCUGGUGUAGCGGUGAAAUGCGCAGAUAUCAGGAGGAACACCAAUGGCGAAGGCAGCUCGCUGGGACGUGACUGACGCUGAGACGCGAAAGCGUGGGGAGCAAACAGG
rnacentral:rRNA from 1 species